rnacentral:lncRNA from 1 species
CCGCCGCGGCGGCGUCAAGCGCAUCAGCGGCCUCAUCUACGAGGAGACGCGCGGCGUCCUCAAGGUCUUUCUCGAGAACGUCAUCCGCGACGCCGUCACCUAUACCGAGCACGCCCGCCGGAAGACGGUCACCGCCAUGGACGUCGUUUACGCCCUCAAGCGCCAGGGCCGCACCCUCUACGGUUUCGGUGGUUAAAAGAAGAAAAAAAAGAUCCGAAUCAGCGAUCUGUUAAAUUUCUAGGCUUAGGGUUAGGGUUAGGGUUUUCUCACCUGCCGCUGUUUCCUUUUUCUUGAUGUAGAAAAGAAUCUACAGAAAACAAAUAUUUUCCUCUUUGCUUCUCAUGAAUGUUGCUACGAUUUCAUCCGAAUGUAAGUUUAUGGUAUCAGUUUUUUUUUUACUUUCACUUUUCUUUUAUUAACAUUUUAGUCGAUUCAAAUUCAAAUAUGGAUAUUAACACUAGUCUAGAGUCUCGACUCCGAAUAUUUUGAAUCAAGUUGAGAUUGAAUCUUUAGCUUUUCAACUUGGCUAUUACACCCCUUGGAUAUUUAACUUGUUAGGCCAUGGCCACCCGACUGUUGGGACCCAAAUCCCCAUUCAGCGUUGGAGCCAAUUCGGGGGAUAGCUCUCCCUUUUAACCCCACCCACGCUUGAAUGAAAAAACCAAUUCCCUCCUCGAAUCCCUCUACCUCCACGGCUCCACUGGGGGGGCCAAAUCCUGAACCAGAGAAUGCGGAUCUAAGACUCCAUUUCCAAUGACCCUCUCAGCAUCCAUGCGAGCCGCCUGAUCUGGUGCGCAUCCUCAGGGCUCUUGGAUAGCAAAUUCGGGAACCCGCUUCUUCAUCAUUCGCAUGCAAAAUACUCUUAAAAUAACCCGUAAAAAGCGAACGUAAAUUGAGUGAUAAUACCUUAGCAAGUUUUUCCUAGAGGGCUCUCUAUCCAACAACAUGUACGGUAGCAUACACCCCCAGAUAAAAAUCAUAGAGGCCUACCAGGUGAGUUGGAUGAUACCAUGAGCGACCUGAUUCCACAUUGCCUGAACAUUACCAUAGCUAUUUAUUUUUUCCAUAAGAAUAUGUUGGAAUAGGCAGGAAGGAUAAUGAAACAAGAAGAAAAAAUAGAAAGAGAAAAGAGAAAAACAAGAGCGUGCAAUAUUUAUGUGAUUUCGUCUAUUGACCUACAUUUAUGGGCAAAGACAAUGUAAAAGCUUCACUAUAAAAAAAAUAGAGAUUACAUACGAUAAAAUUUCCUCACAAACUCUAGCCUCCAAUACAUCCGAUCUUUAAGACACUUAAUUAUUAUUUUUUCUUCGGGAUUACUAAAAGAUUUAUAAUUGAGUAAGUCAACUUAGACUCGAACUGGUGUUCCUACAAUAAUCAGAUUAGACCAAUAUAUAACUAGUGUCUUAAGCCAAUUUAGACUUGAAUUGAUGUCCUAAGUUGAUUUGGACUUGAUCUUCUAAAACUUGUAAACUCCCAACAUAGUCGACAAGAUAGAAAAUGAAGCACUUUGAGCUGGAAUGGCGAAAUGGGAUCACUACUUGCCAAACAAAUAAGCAACAUAGUUAGCACGAUGUCUAUUUAGAUGAGUUUCCAACAAAAUAAUCAGAGAAAGAUUCUGUUCCUUGAGAAUAGUGAUCACACGAUUACAUCCAUCCUUUUUUGAUGCAUCUCUAUAGCUCUAUAAUUACAACUCACAUGAGAAAGUAGCAAAAUUAGUAGUAGAGGGGGAUUUCCCCAAUACUUUCCCUUUUUCAAACCUGACAUCAAAGUUCAACCUCCGACCUGGAUAGAGUGGUGCAAAUGAGUCGAGUAGCUCGCAAGCUGCUGGAGCUCGACUCGGGUCCAAAUUCGACUCAAUUAUUAUCGAGCUCGAGUAGCUCGAAAAAUUUUUCGAAUCAAGCUUGAGUAGCAAAAUACUUACCUUGAAGACUCACAAGCCUAGUUAAGUAAAUAUAGAUUUAAUAACAUUAUAUUUUAUUGACAAUAUAUUAUUAAUUUAAUAUUUUAAAUAUUAUAUUAUAUUAUAUUAUAUUUUAAUCAUAUUUUUAAAUUAUGACUAAGCCUCAAAUUCAAACUCAAACUCGAGAUCAAGUAUGGCUCGUUAAAAAUUCGAGUUGAGUCGAGUUGAUCUCAAGUAUUUUUUUUUUUUAAGAAUAAGUUAACAUUGAUCUUAAGUUGACUUUCGAGCUUGAGUAUUUUAAAUUAAAUUAAGAUCGAGUCUUUAGCUAUUCAACUUGAUCCGGAUCGAUUCUACCCCUAGUUGGAUAUUUAACAUGUUAGGCCAUAGCCGCCUGACUGUUGGGACCCAAACCGCCAUGCUCCACCCUAGUCAGCCUUCGAGCCAAUUCGGGGGAUAGCUCUCCAUUUAACCCCAUCGACGCUUGAAUAUAAAAUCCAAUUCCAUACUCGAAUCCCUCUACCAUGGGGACCUCCACCGAGGGGGCCAAAUUCUGAACUAGAGAAUUCGGAUCUAAGACUCCAUUCUGGAGGACUCUCUCGUGAUCUGGUGAAGCAACCGCAGCCUCAGGGCUCUUGGUUAGCAAAUUCGGGAACUCCCAACAAUGACCACAUCAAUAGCAGAUGAAGAAAAUUCUUUCAUUCUCGAUUUGUUGCUAGAAACAUUUUUGAUACCCCAGGACCUCGAGCUUUCUUUCAAUUGGAGCCGAGCACAAGUUUGACUUCCUUAAAUGGAUAGCUUUCAACCCAACACGGCAUAUGGGCUGCAUCCGACCCAACCACGACUUUGAUUGCGUGCAUCCCAGGUUAUAUGGCCCGAACCUCUAUUUAGGCUGCAGACCUGUGGUCUUCUAAGCCCGGCCCCUAAAAUAUUUCGAUUUUACCGCCAGUUCCAUUGCUUUUCCUGCAACCCGGGGAAUUUCUUCGAUCCGCCAACUCGCAUACCAACCAAUGAAAUGCGAGAUCUCCUGAUCGGACGGACAAGAACAAUAACGUAUAGGCCUCGCGGAUCGCAGUCCCAUCCAACGGCUGACGCGAUUCGUAUCCCUUUAUAUAAAGGCCCCGUUAUCGUCUUUCAUGGACGAUCGGCGCGGUGAGCUUUGAAUUCCCCUUCAAAUUGAGAGCGAGAGAGAAGAGUCGAAGAUGUCGGGGCGAGGCAAGGGAGGCAAGGGAUUGGGGAAGGGCGGGGCGAAGCGGCACCGCAAGGUCCUUCGCGAUAACAUUCAGGGCAUCACGAAGCCCGCCAUCCGCCGCCUGGCCCGCCGCGGCGGCGUCAAGCGCAUCAGCGGCCUCAUCUACGAGGAGACGCGCGGCGUCCUCAAGGUCUUUCUCGAGAACGUCAUCCGCGACGCCGUCACCUAUACCGAGCACGCCCGCCGGAAGACGGUCACCGCCAUGGACGUGGUCUACGCCCUCAAGCGCCAGGGCCGCACCCUCUACGGCUUCGGCGGUUAAAAG